GGCGGCACGCCUAACACAUGCAAGUCGAACGAAGUAGCAAUACUUAGUGGCAGACGGGUGAGUAACAUGUGGGUAUCUGCCCUUUGGCCUGGAAUAACACGAGGAAACUUGUGCUAAUACCGGAUAAGUCUUUACGGAGAAAGCUUUAUGCACCAUUGGAUGAGCCCGCACUUGAUUAGUUUGUUGGUGGGGUAAUGGCCUACCAAGACUGUGAUCAAUAGCUGAUUUGAGAGGAUGAUCAGCCACAUUGGGACUGAGACACGGCCCAAACUCCUACGGGAGGCAGCAGUGGGGAAUCUUGCACAAUGGAGGAAACUCUGAUGCAGCGAUGCCGCGUGAGUGAAGAAGGCCCUUGGGUUGUAAAGCUCUUUCGUCGGGGAAGAAAAUGACUGUACCCGAAUAAGAAGGUCCGGCUAACUUCGUGCCAGCAGCCGCGGUAAUACGAAGGGACCUAGCGUAGUUCGGAAUUACUGGGCUUAAAGAGUUCGUAGGUGGUUGAAAAAGUUGGUGGUGAAAUCCCAGAGCUUAACUCUGGAACUGCCAUCAAAACUUUUCAGCUAGAGUUUGAUAGAGGAAAGCAGAAUUUCUAGUGUAGAGGUGAAAUUCGUAGAUAUUAGAAAGAAUACCAAUUGCGAAGGCAGCUUUCUGGAUCAUUACUGACACUGAGGAACGAAAGCAUGGGUAGCGAAGAGGAUUAGAUACCCUCGUAGUCCAUGCUGUAAACGAUGUGUGUUAGACGUUGGAAAUUUAUUUUCAGUGUCGCAGCGAAAGCGAUAAACACACCGCCUGGGGAGUACGACCGCAAGGUUAAAACUCAAAUGAAUUGACGGGGACCCGCACAAGUAGUGGAGCAUGUGGUUCAAUUCGAUGCAACGCGAAGAACCUUACCAGGGUUUGACAUCCUGCGAAUCUCUUGGAAGCAGGAGAGUGCCUUCGGGAACGCAGUGACAGGUGGUGCAUGGCUGUCGUCAGCUCGUGUCGUGAGAUGUUGGGUUAAGUCCCGCAACGAGCGCAACCCACGUCUUUAGUUGCCAGCAUUUAGUUGGGCACUCUAGAGAGACUGCCGGUGAUAAACCGGAGGAAGGUGUGGAUGACGUCAAGUCAUCAUGCCCCUUACAUCCUGGGCUACACACGUACUACAAUGCUACGGACAAAGGGCUGCAAGUUCGCGAGGACAAGCAAAUCCCAUAAACCGUGGCUCAGUUCAGAUCGUAGGCUGCAACUCGCCUACGUGAAGGCGGAAUCGCUAGUAAUCGCAGGUCAGCAUACUGCGGUGAAUACGUUCCCGGGCCUUGUACACACCGCCCGUCAC
rnacentral:rRNA from 1 species